CGCUGGCGGCACGCCUUAUACAUGCAAGUCGAACGGAGUAGCAAUACUCAGUGGCAGACGGGUGAGUAACAUGUAGGUAUCUUCCCUUUGGUGAGGAAUAACACGAGGAAACUUGUGCUAAUACCUCAUAAGUCUUUACGGAGAAAGCUUUAUGCGCCAAUGGAUGAGCCUGCACUUGAUUAGUUUGUUGGUAGGGUAAUGGCCUACCAAGACUGUGAUCAAUAGCUGAUCUGAGAGGAUGAUCAGCCACAUUGGGACUGAGACACGGCCCAAACUCCUACGGGAGGCAGCAGUAGGGAAUAUUGCACAAUGGAGGAAACUCUGAUGCAGCGAUGCCGCGUGAGUGAAGAAGGCCUUUGGGUUGUAAAGCUCUUUCGUCGGGGAAGAAAAUGACUGUACCCGAAUAAGAAGGUCCGGCUAACUUCGUGCCAGCAGCCGCGGUAAUACGAAGGGACCUAGCGUAGUUCGGAAUUACUGGGCUUAAAGAGUUCGUAGGUGGUUAAAAAAGUUGGUGGUGAAAUCCCAGAGCUUAACUCUGGAACUGCCAUCAAAACUUUUUAGCUAGAGUAUGAUAGAGGAAAGCAGAAUUUCUAGUGUAGAGGUGAAAUUCGUAGAUAUUAGAAAGAAUACCGAUUGCGAAGGCAGCUUUCUGGAUCAUUACUGACGCUGAGGAACGAAAGCAUGGGUAGCGAAGAGGAUUAGAUACCCUCGUAGUCCAUGCUGUAAACGAUGUGUGUUAGACGUUGGAAAUUUAUUUUCAGUGUCGCAGCGAAAGCAAUAAACACACCGCCUGGGGA
rnacentral:rRNA from 1 species